rnacentral:lncRNA from 1 species
GACUUUUAAUGUGAGAAUUGAAUCAAUCAAGUGACUACUUGAGUUCGUUUGGGUCUUACUGUGACAAUUGUUAUUCUCAGUUUACCAUAGGCUUCAAAUAACUUCUGCAAUGGGCCACCCAUAUCUUGUGCUUAGUGUGGGGCCUUGGGUGCUAGAAGGUUUUUCUCAGUGUUUUUGCUCCACCCUUAGCUUUCAACAGUCUUUGCAUGCCUGCACCACAGAAUAGGGUCCCUUUCCACAUUCUUGCCUCUCCCCCAUAGACUGUUGCUGCUCAUUACUCAAUAUGAGGCUUACCAUGUGGUCAAUAGGGUAAAUUUCAGCUUCUGUUCGUCAGUCUCUGAAUUAAGGCCAGGCAGCCAGGGAUUGAGGGGUUAAGCCUUCUCCAUGUUUCUACCACUCCCCCACCACACCCUUUGGCUGCCAAAUCCUGCCUUGUAUCUGUAGUGUAUCUUGGGAAGCUGAGAGUUUCCUGCCCCUUCCCAAGCAGUAGAAGAUUUCUGCUUUGUUUUAUUCAGAAUUUUGGAUUUUUAAAGGGGUUUGUUGGUUUGUUUCUUCACUCUGUCAGAAGCAAGAAACUCUUUCUUCUACCUUUUCUCCACAGCAAUGGUUCUUUGCCUGGCUACUGAAGUUGAAAAGAAGAGUAUCCUACCCUACCCCUAGAAGCAGAUGGGUUUUAUUUCUGUCUGUCCUGCAGAGGCCUUGGAGGGAGGGAAACUGAGAAGCCAUAUGAUUGGCUCAAAUUUUCAUACGGGAUGAUUGGUAGAGCUAGAAGCAAAAGCCAAGUCUUGACCCCAAGGGAAGAGGUGACUUUCACCUUCCACCAUGAUUGUGAAGCCUUCCCAGCCACAAGGAACUGUGAGUCCAUUAAACCUCCUUUUCUUCACAAAUUACCCAGUCUCAGGCAAAUGGUCACCAGGAGAGCUGGGAGAGUGUAUGACUAGACCCUAGCAAACACGUGACCUCUGCAGGAACAGCUCAGCAUUCAUGCCCAUUUCCUGGUGGAUCGGGAAUGUCACCUUCAAUCAAAGGUAUAGAAAAGAAGAACUUGAGGCCUUGGGAUCAACAAAGGAAAGUUCAGUUUCCUAUUUCCUCAUUCACUUAUACAGCCUUUGCCCAAUCACCUAUGCCCUGUGGAAUUCAUUUUCCUCAUCUAUAAAAUGAGAAUAAAAAUAAUUAUUCUUCUUAUUCAUGGAAUCACUUGAGGAUUACAAUGAAAUAAAAUAAUGUAUUCACAUCUAUUGUGUUUUUAAAUGUUUAAAUAUUAUAGACCUCAAAUCUUCUCAAACUGAUUCAUAAUAGAAAUUUCAUAAUAUAGGCAACCCAGAUUGACCACCUUCUCAGUCAUGGUAAUUUUCUAUAUAACACAAACAAGUAAAUAAAAAUUCUAACACGGCAUGUAAAUGUGAAUGAUUAUUAUGUAUUCAUCUUCAUCAUCUCCUUAAAGCAGCAUUAUUGAGACUUCAUCUGAGAAAUAGUAGCAUUCUUGGGAGUUUCUGUCCUAUAUAUUAAUAUAUGAGUAACUGAGGCAAGUGGGAGAGUCUGGUUAAUCCUGUUAUCCUGGUACCUGAUCAAUGACUUUAUUGUUGGGAAAUGGUGUGGUGUGGAAAAGCUAAGCUAUGCCCACUCUCAUCAUGUGAUAAAAGCUGCUUAAAUUCUUGCCUAGAUGAAAUGAUCUUUUACCAAAAAAUCCCCAAUAAAUGUCUCCCUAGCUUGAAAGUCUUUAGAAAAUAGAGUUGCUUGGUUUUAUUAUGUUAAAUAAAUAUUGUUUUAUACUUUUCCAAUAAGUUUUAACUUUAUUUUUGCACUGAAAUAUCUUAUAAUUUCCAUUUUGUGACUCCCACUAGUGAUGACUUAAGGGACACUUUAACCUGUCCAUUCAUCAUAAAAACCUAGAGUCAACCAAGUUUGACUACCUUUCCCAGCUAUGGUCGGUAAAUAUUUUCCCCUGUCAAUGGCUAGCUUAUUACUAUUGUAAAAUGAAUAAAUAAGGAAAAUAAUUAGGUGGUUCAUUUAGGCUCUUUUUGUAUUUGCUUAUUGUAAAUAAAAAUUGAAUCCAGUUUAAAUUAAGUGAUUCUUGUCAUAACCUAUUGUAGGAACAUGAAAUAAUCUAAGAAAAAGUUCCAGCCAUGCACAUCAGGAGAGCUUGUCAAAGUAAAGGGGAAACUACUUCUACAAAGAAGGAGAAAUAUUGCCUCCUCCUUUCAGGUACCAAUCUGAAAGCUGUUCUCUUUUCCAUCAAAAUUAAUGGUUGCUUUUAUAACUUCCCUCUUCCCUAAAGAGAGAAGAAAGUCAAAGAGACCUAGAAGCAAACCUUGCCUGGUUUUCCAAUAUCAGCUUACAAAGAAUGUUCUAAAGGAAAGCAAACUUUACAUUCCAGCUUUGCCUGAAUCUGUGCAAUAGUAAAUUGGUGACAGUAAUAGCUUAAGCAAUGGAAAAAUAAUGCAUGAGCCUUAUCUAAAUCUAAGUUUAGACUCAAGUCUAAACAUUGAGUAGUUAGUAACUCUCUGUAAAAUUAAUAGUAGGCUGGGGGCGGUGGCUCAUGCCUGUAAUCUCAGUACUUUGGGAGGCCAAAGAGGGCAGAUCACAAGGUCAGGAGAUCAAGACCAUCCUGACUAACACAGUGAAAGCCCAUCUAUCAGGGGAACCCACCCUCAGUAUUUCAACAUAGGUUCUUCCUGUUUUCCAUAAGUGUUGGCCAGCUGAGAAAUAAAGAGAAAGAGUACAAAGAGAGGAAUUUUACAGCUGGGCCGCUGGGGGUGACAUCACAUACCAGCAGGACCGUGAUGCCCACUAGAGCCUCAAAACCAGCAUGUUUUUUUUAAGGAUUUCAAAAGGGGAGGGGGUGUAUGAACAGGGAGUAGGUCACAAAGAUCAUAUGCUUCAAAGGGCAAAACGCAGAACAAAGAUCACAUGCUUCUGAGGAAACAGGACAAAGGGCAAAACGC